rnacentral:rRNA from 1 species
CAGGCCUAACACAUGCAAGUCGAGCGCCCCCACUCUGUUUUUGACUUUGUCGAAGACGGGGUGGGGGAGCGGCGAACGGGUGAGUAACACGUUGGAACCUACCCCAGACUCAGGGAUAGCCCGCCGAAAGGCGGAUUAAUACCGGAUAGUUCCCGACUUUGUCGGGAUAAAGCUUUUGCGGUCUGGGAGGGGCCUGCGGCCUAUCAGCUUGUUGGUAAGGUAAAAGCUUACCAAGGCUAUGACGGGUAUCUGGUGUGAGAGCAUGACCAGACACAAUGGAACUGAGACACGGUCCAUACUCCUACGGGAGGCAGCAGUGAGGAAUCUUCCGCAAUGGGCGAAAGCCUGACGGAGCGACACCGCGUGAAGGAUGAAGGCCUUUUGGUUGUAAACUUCUUUUCUGGGGGAAUAACUGAUGAAGGUACCCCAGGAAUAAGCACCGGCUAACUACGUGCCAGCAGCCGCGGUAAUACGUAGGGUGCAAGCGUUAUCCGGAAUCAUUGGGCGUAAAGCGUUCGUAGGUGGCUAAACAAGUUUGCGGUUAAAUCCGGUCGCUCAACGAUCGAAUCGUCGCGAAAACUAUUUAGCUUGAGAACAGCAGAGGCAACUGGAAUUCCACAUGUAGGGGUAAAAUCCGUUGAUAUGUGGAGGAACACCAAAAGCGAAGGCAGGUUGCUGGGCUGUUUCUGACACUGAGGAACGAAAGCGUGGGUAGCGAACAGGAUUAGAUACCCUGGUAGUCCACGCCGUAAACGAUGGAUACUCGAUGUGGGAGGGAAUCGACCCCCUCCUGUGUCCAAGCUAACGCGUUAAGUAUCCCGCCUGGGGAGUACGGUCGCAAGAUUAAAACUCAAAGGAAUAGACGGGGACCCACACAAGCGGUGGAGCAUGUGGUUUAAUUCGACAAUAAACGGGGAACCUUACCAA